rnacentral:rRNA from 1 species
AGCGAACGCUGGCGGCAGGCUUAACACAUGCAAGUCGAGCGGGCGUAGCAAUACGUCAGCGGCAGACGGGUGAGUAACACGUGGGAACGUACCUUUUGGUUCGGAACAACUGAGGGAAACUUCAGCUAAUACCGGAUAAGCCCUAACGGGGAAAGACUUAUCGCCGAAAGAUCGGCCCGCGUCUGAUUAGCUAGUUGGUGAGGUAAUGGCUCACCAAGGCGACGAUCAGUAGCUGGGCUGAGAGGAUGAUCAGCCACACUGGGACUGAGACACGGCCCAGACUCCUACGGGAGGCAGCAGUGGGGAAUAUUGGACAAUGGGGGCAACCCUGAUCCAGCCAUGCCGCGUGAGUGAUGAAGGCCCUAGGGUUGUAAAGCUCUUUUGUGCGGGAAGAUAAUGACGGUACCGCAAGAAUAAGCCCCGGCUAACUUCGUGCCAGCCGCCGCCGUAA